rnacentral:rRNA from 1 species
CCUACGGGCGGCAGCAGUGGGGAAUAUUGGGCAAUGGGCGAAAGCCUGACCCAGCAACGCCGCGUGAAGGAAGAAGGCUUUCGGGUUGUAAACUUCUUUUGACAGGGAAGAGCAGAAGACGGUACCUAUCGAAUAAGCCACGGCUAACUACGUGCCAGCAGCAGCGGUAAGACGUAGGUGGCAAGCGUUGUCCGGAUUUACUGGGUGUAAAGUGCGUGUAGCCUGGCUGACAAGUCAGAUGUGAAAUCCGGGGCUCAACCCCCGACCUGCAUUUGAAACUGUUGGUUUGGAGUAUCGGAGAGGCAGGCGGAAUUCCUAGUGUAGCGGUGAAGUGCGGAGAUAUUAGGAGGAACACCAGUGGCGAAGGCGGCCUGCUGGACGACAACUGACGGUGAGGCGCGAAAGCGUGGGGAGCAAACAGGAUUAGAUACCCCGGUAGUC